rnacentral:rRNA from 1 species
AACGAACGCUGGCGGCAUGCCUAACACAUGCAAGUCGAACGAGACCUUCGGGUCUAGUUGCGCACGGGUGCGUAACGUGUGGGAACCUGCCCUUAGGCUCGGAAUACCUCCCUGACAGGGGUGCUAAUACAGGAUAAUUUCUGCUGACCAAAGAUUCAUCGACUUUGGAUGGGCCCGCGUUGGUUUAGCUGGUUGGUAGGGUAAGAGCCUACCACGGCUACGCUCCAUAGCUGGGCUGAGAGACAGAUCAGCCACACUGAGACGGGGACACGGCCCAGAAUACUACGGGAGGGGGGAGUGGGGAAUACUGGAAAACGGGGGAAAGGAUGAACCAGCAAGGCCGGGUGAGUGAUGAAGGUGGUAGGGAUGUAAAGCUGGUUUAUCCGGGAUUAUAAUGACAGUACCGGGAGAAUAAGCACCGGCUAACUCCGUG